rnacentral:lncRNA from 1 species
UUGGGGAAGCAGGCAGGUUGGGGAUGAAGAGUUAACAGCUAUAACCCAGAUCAGAUGAAGAAAGCGACACCUCACUGUUCAGCCAAGUGCUUCCUCCUUCUUCCUUGGGAUCUGCCUGCCUUCCAGCCUUCCUCCAAGGCUUCUCCUUGCCUCUCCUAUUGGCUGUCUCACUCUGAGGCAGGAAGAGAAAUCUGGUCGGUGGCUGACUUAGUCAUUUAUUCCCUAAUAAGUUAGCGAGAGCUCGUUUCACAGCACCGGAGGGCAUGAUGUAAUUACUUCUAACACAGAAUCUGAGAUCAGAAUAUACACAGCUAAUUAAAGUUUCCCACUUAAGUCCCAGGUAAGAAUUUCCUCUAGCAAAUGCUUUUUUUUUUUGAAAAAUAGACUUAAGAACGCCUGAAAUUGUUUAAAAUCCUGUAGCUUAUAAAAUAAAGCUCUAAUGAGCCUGUCUUUCUUUUUUUUUAACAGAUCUUUGGUUUGAGUGUGGAUAAAGCAGUUAUCACAAAAUCAUCUGAGAAAUAAAAGAAAUCUUGAUUUAACAUGAAAACCUUUCUAUUCUGUAAGUGAACUCGUUUGACCUAGAUCUAUCCUUUAAAGGACAAUUGGCUGUAAGAAAUUCUAAGGUUGUUCUCAGAAUUCUAAGACAAUUGGUAAAUAUUGAUAUAAAAGUCGGGUUCAUUAGCGACACCGAUUUGAUUUUCCUGAAAAUCGGCCAGACGGCAAGUUCUCACUUUUAUCCACCUUCAUUGUUACUCUCCAUAGCAACUGAAAACUUUUCUGGGCUGAAAUAAUCCUCUCUAGCUCCCAGCGCACAGUCAAGGAAUUUUAAAAACAGAGGACUUUGUAACCACGAAAUACCCUCCAAGAUUUAAAAGGCCACAGAGCUCCAGAUAAAUAAUCAUUUAUCUUUCUUCUGAAGGUAAGCACUGGGUUUAGAAAUGUUUGUAUCAUCCUCUGUCAUUUUUAAAUGCUAACAUAAGAAUCUUAAACUUGCUCUCUUUUUAAACCAUAAAAGUAAUCCUAGUAUUUUUGUUACUACCCAGCCAUUUUAGAUCAUCUCUGGGCCA